UGGGCCUGCAGCCUGUGCUCUGUAGACAGUGCUGUUUGUUUGCAAAGCUGUCCUUUUGACUUCAGACUGAUUAUUGCUUACAAUUUACAUUCAGAACUGAAAGCUGGUUCUUGUUUACAACUAGAAACUGAGCAAGGAAUAUAGGUUAGAAGUUAAACUUUGUCACAAACAAGUCUGGCAUUUGAAGUUCAUGCUGCUGUGCUGAAAAGCUGAAGUAAGCAGUAAGUCUUAUUGUUUAAGUCUAUUUGACUAGUUUCUAAGUGACUUUGAGUUGAGGCUGGAUUUGUGAAAGACCAUCAGGGCAUCUUGGAGUGGAGCAUCAGGAGGUGCUGCACACAGCUGAAUUGCCACUGUUGGAUGUUGAAGGGUACGUCCAGUGGACUGCAAUAUUUUGUUUUAUUUAUAUUCGUGCAAAGGAAUUGUUCUCGGAGUGUCUCGGCGUGCCAGUGACCACGGUGGAUCUAGAAUUGAACGAGGGAUCCGGAGAUUCACCACCCUUUUCAAGAAAAAACUUCUAUGUGCCUCAGUAUUAAAUGACCGAUCCUUUAUCAGGGGGACAAGGAGUUAAGUCUCCUUGUUUGAGACUUCCAUUGGGAAAACCAUUCCAAAAUCCACAUUGUCAAGCCUUUUCUGAAUUAUAUAUGUUUGAAUAAAGACACCACUCAUCCUUCUAGUUACUACAAGAGACACUGUUAAAAUAUAGACAACCAUCAUUAGUUUGAAUUGUUGACUGGGUAAUAGAUCUUGACAUCCCCAUCACUGUAGUCAGUGUGAAACACUCUGAAUGAUAUCAAGGAAUGACUGACAACAUUGGAUACAGCAAAGGCCAGCAGUCCAACAACAUCCAGAGUGUUGUGCUAAAGGCUUGUGCUUUUUAUGCUGCCUUAGUCAAGCUAUUCAAGCACAGCUGCACUGUGGGCAUUCAAGCCUGAGCUAUAGAAAAUUGCUCGAGCAUAGCCUAUUCACAAAUCCAAUGCACUUAAUUAACAACUAUUCUCAAUCAUUAAAAAAGUGAAAAAGGUGUUGUUGUCAAUGUUAUCAAAGGGUACUUGCCAAGCAAUCUACUCACCUAGGCUCAGUUUUUAUUCUACCACUUGGCUGUAGACCAGACAGGCUAGGUAUGGAAAAUGGAGCUGAAUUUCAGAGGUUAAUUGAGGCUGGUUACUAACUUUAAUAUCUAGGCAAUGUAUGUGGUAAAACAAUGUCCAGGGAACGCAAAGAAAGAUUCUCCAUUGGAUGUGGUCACAUUUAGAACAAUCAGAGAUGACUACGCUGUAAGGAGUUUAACCAUUUCAGUCCAGGGUACUGUUGUGGGGCAAACAUCUUCUUCUACUUCAUCAAGCUUCCUUUCAUCAUAAAAUCAGAUAUUAUAAUGAUUAUAAAAAGCACUACUCUAAAUGUUGAUCUAAGUAAUGGAACAAUGAAUGCCCAUUUUUGAUGCAAUUUUACCUGCUUUAUAAUUUAUGUUCAGAAGUCCUCAUUAUUCUCAAAAUUAUAUAAACAUUUAGUGGAAUUUCCAUUAGAAAUGACAAAAACAUGAUCCAUCAAUAGCACCAUGAUCUUGCUGAAUGAUAGAACAAGCCCCAAAGGGCUGUAUUGUCUUCUGUUCUCUUAAGUUCUUAUGAAAUUCCAAUAUUCUCACCACAAAUAUGCAGGGAGGUGAUAGGAGGUUAACAGCAGAAGAAAGUGACUUCCUAAUUCCAUUAGAACGCUCCUGAGUCAUAAUCCUUACUUCCUCUCUCUGCAAUUAACUUAUCAAAAGCCUAUGUUUCAUAAAUGUAUAUCAGGCAAGUUAUUAUACAGCCACUUGCCUGCACUCUGUUCUAAAUUUCUAAACAAUAGAAGAAAAAAUAACAUUUCCUUCUUUGUCUCCAAAAAUAAAUUAAAUUAAGGGAGUUUUCUAAUACGUAUUGAUCUUUAAAUCUUCGUUGCUAUUGGUUUUAUGUGUCAGACUUCAUUUUGCCUCUUCGUUGGCAUGUGAGCUACAAAUCACACAAGGAGUUGUGCUUAUAUUAACUCAGUGAUACCAGCAGAAAACAGGAUAUGUAAUUUUAUUUGUUAGAAGUCAUAACCAUAUCCUAAGCCUCUUCUUGUUGUCACCCUGUGUAUUGGUUUUACCUAUUUAUUUAUAUUGGAAUGCUGUGAGGCAUACAUCAUAUGAUUAUAUAUGUAUAUUUUACCUGUAGUUCUAUUGAGUGCACUAUUGCUAUUUUAUUUCAGUUCAGCAAAAUGGAUUUUAUAAAGAUAAUGGUGAGAAGGGCCCACUUUAAACCACACACCAAAAAUGCCCCCAGCAUAUUUUAAAUAGCUAAUUAUUUGCACAAUUAAACAAAACUGCUAUUUUCAGUAAUUUUUGUGAUAAUGUUUCCAUUAGCACAGUCAAUAAAGCAUCUGACCAAAUCAGCUGUUACAUGCAAUGAAUAUUAUACUGAACUGUCUGGUGUAAUUGGUGGGCAAAAGCAUCCUAUCCACUGUAAAAAUACACCACAUGAGUGGUAAGCAACACUUUCCUCUGGGCAGCAAUUGUUUGCAGACACAACAUUAUUUCAUUUGAGAUAUUUAUUGGGUAUCGAACUGUUUGGU